CAAGUCGCACGAGAAAGGGGAGCAAUCCCUGAGUAAAGUGGCGCACGGGUGAGUAACACGUGAAUCAUCUACCUCCGAGUGGGGAAUAACCUAGAGAAAUCUGGGCUAAUACCGCAUAACACUUACGAGUCAAAGCAGCAAUGCGCUUGGAGAGGAGUUCGCGGCCGAUUAGCUAGUUGGCGGGGUAAUGGCCCACCAAGGCGAUGAUCGGUAUCCGGCCUGAGAGGGCGCACGGACACACUGGAACUGAAACACGGUCCAGACUCCUACGGGAGGCAGCAGUGGGGAAUUUUGCGCAAUGGGGGAAACCCUGACGCAGCAACGCCGCGUGGAGGAUGAAAUAUCUUGGUAUGUAAACUCCUUUCGAUGGGGAAGAUUAUGACGGUACCCAUAGAAGAAGCCCCGGCUAACUUCGUGCCAGCAGCCGCGGUAAUACGAGGGGGGCAAGCGUUGUUCGGAUUUAUUGGGCGUAAAGGGUGCGUAGGCGGUUUGGCAAGUCUUAUGUGAAAUCUUCGGGCUCAACCCGAAGCCUGCAUAAGAAACUGCCGGGCUUGAGUAUGGGAGAGGUGAGUGGAAUUUCCGGUGUAGCGGUGAAAUGCGUAGAUAUCGGAAGGAACACCUGUGGCGAAAGCGGCUCACUGGACCAUAACUGACGCUGAUGCACGAAAGCUAGGGGAGCAAACAGGAUUAGAUACCCUGGUAGUCCUAGCCCUAAACGAUGAUUGCUUGGUGUGGCAGGUACCCAAUCCUGCCGUGCCGAAGCUAACGCGAUAAGCAAUCCGCCUGGGGAGUACGGUCGCAAGGCUGAAACUCAAAGGAAUUGACGGGGGCCCGCACAAGCGGUGGA
rnacentral:rRNA from 1 species